UUUUGUUUGUCUGUCUGUUUGUCAGCAGGAUAACUCAAAAAGUUUUCAACGGAGAUAUUAUAUCAGAUAUUAUAUGAACAGAGGGACUGAAAAUAAGUAAGGAAUUGUCCACUACAAACAAGGAGAUGGAUGUUAACAGGCUAUUAAAAUACCCAUCAAGAGGAAGUAAUGAAACAAGAAAAUGAAGUUUUGCCAAAGCAGGUUCAGGAGCUACAUCAACAAGAAACAAACAUGUCAGAAAUGGACUAUAAUGCAUUGAAGCAAAAUUAUGAAUCACUAAUCCAAGAACAUAAGGACCUGAAAAAAAGGUAUCAAAUGCAAAGUAGAGACCUUGAAUUUGAAAAAGCUAUGGUGAAUCAGAAAACAGAAUCACUGGAAAGUCAGUCUAAAAUGCUAAGUAUUAUUCACAAGGCUAAAAUAGCCAUGGAAACCUGCAUUGAUAUAAUGGUGCAGGAAAGAGACUUAGCGGUAAAAGAAAAAGAGCUGCGACAAACGGUUCAAAAGCAAAGCCUAAUGCUUGAUAAAAUAAAGAGUGCUUCAGAAAAAUCAAGCAUUGGAAAGAAACGCCCAGGAGCUAAAAGAUGUUCAGCAUGCACAAAAACUCCUGGAAAGCAAUUAUAAUGUGCUGAAACAGGCAAAAGUGUCAAUGGUUCAACAAAUUCAAGAACUGCAAAUAUGGGUUGAAGAGCAAAGGGAAAUGCUUGAACAUGAAAAAGACCUGGUGAAUCAGAGAAAUGAAGCUCUGAAAAGAAUGGUUCAGGAGCUCAAUGAUAGUCAGCAUGCACAGAAACUCCUGGAAAGCAAUUACAAUAUGCUGGAACAGGAAAAUGUGUCAAUGGUUCAACAAAUCCAAGAACUGCAAAUAAGAGUUGAACAGCAAAGGGAAAUGCUUGAACAUGAAAAAGACAUGGUGAAUCAGAGGAAUGAAGCUCUGGAAAGAAAUGUUCAGGAGCUCAAUGACAGCCAGCAUGCACAGAAACUCCUGGAAAGCAACUAUAACACACUGAAACAGGAAAAGGUGUCAAUGGUUCAACAAAUCCAGGAACUGCAAGAAAGAGUUCAAGAGCAGAGAAAAAUGUUUGAAUCUGAAAAAGAAAUGAUGAAUCAAACUAAUGAAGCCCUGAUAGGAAAUGUUGAAGAGCAAAGGAAACUCCUUGAAACUGAAAAAAGAAAUUGUAAAUCAGAAAACCGAAGCUCCUGAAAGAAAGGUUCAGGAGCUCAAUAACAGCCAGCAUGCACAGAAACUCCUGGAAAGCAAUUACAAUAUGCUGGAACAGGAAAAUGUGUCAAUGGUUCAACAAAUCCAAGAACUGCAAAUAAGAGUUGAACAGCAAAGGGAAAUGCUUGAACAUGAAAAAGACAUGGUGAAUCAGAGGAAUGAAGCUCUGGAAAGAAAUGUUCAGGAGCUCAAUGACAGCCAGCAUGCACAGAAACUCCUGGAAAGCAACUAUAACACACUGAAACAGGAAAAGGUGUCAAUGGUUCAACAAAUCCAGGAACUGCAAGAAAGAGUUCAAGAGCAGAGAAAAAUGUUUGAAUCUGAAAAAGAAAUGAUGAAUCAAACUAAUGAAGCCCUGAUAGGAAAUGUUGAA